rnacentral:rRNA from 1 species
GACGAACGCUGGCGGCGUGCUUAACACAUGCAAGUCGAACGGGAGUUAGUAGACAGAAGCCUCGGCUAAAGAUUACUAAUGAGAGUGGCGAACGGGUGAUUAACGCGUGAGCAACCUGCCUAUGACAGUGGGAUAGCCUCGGGAAACCGGGCUUAAUACCGCAUAAAAUCGUAGAAACACAUGUUUUAACGGUCAAAGAUUUAUCGGUCAUAGAUGGGCUCGCGUCUGAUUAGCUAGUUGGUGAGAUAACAGCCCACCAAGGCGACGAUCAGUAGCCGGUAUGAGAGGAUGAACGGCCACAUUGGAACUAAGACACGGUCCAAACUCCUACGGGAGGCAGCAGUGGGGAAUAUUGCACAAUGGGGGAAACGCUGAUGCAGCGACGACGCGUGAACGAAGAAGGUAGUCGUAUCGUAAAGUUCUGUACUAUGGGAAGAUAAUGACAGUACCAUAGAAGAAAGCUCCGGCUAAAUACGUG